UGCUUUACUAGUGUGUAUAUGUGUGUAUUAAGUGUUGAAAUCGACCCCAAAAAUGGACAUGCAUAUUCGGCCAAGGGCAAAGAAAUUAGCUAAUAUGUUGUGUUGAUGCAUGAUUUUUGCAUGUAUGAGACUUUAAUGUCUAAUGUAUAAAUAUGGGCUAAGUGCCUUGUGUUCAUCUUUUGAUGCCUAAAUGAUGAAAUCAAUUUAUUUGUUUGAUUAAGCUCAAGAGCAAAGGGGAAAUAAAACCGAUAAAGGGAAGGAAAAAGUGGUUGAAUAGCUAGCGGAAUCGUUCGACAACACCCGAGGUAAGUUCUUGAGUAAGAGAGCUUAAAUUUCGAUGUGAUUAAAUCAUGCUCUAUGUGUGGCUAUUAAGCCGAAUGUGCAAGGACAAUAUGUGCCUUAUGUUUGAGUUUCGUAAACGAAAAUGAAAUAUGAAUGUACCAUGAAUUAUUGUUAGAUGUGCAUGAUUAAUUGAAUGCUGUCCGGGCUAAGUCCCGAAGGCUUUGUGCUAAGCGAAUAUAUCCGGACUAAGAUCCGAAGGCCUUUGUGCGAGAUACUAAAUCCGGGUUAAGUCCCGAGGGCAUUCGUGCGAGUUAUUAAAGCCGGGUUAAGUCCCGAAGGCAUUCGUGCGAGUUGUUAAAUCCGGGUUACAUCCCGAAGGCAUGGUGUGAGUUACUAAAACCGGGCUAUGUCCCGAAGGCAUUUGAACGAGGAGCUAUAUCCGGUUAAAUCCCGAAGGUACGUGAUUUGGUAAUGAAUGAGCUUGCUGUAAAAUUCCAGCGAAUACUCGAAAAACAUCCCAAUAUGGGGAUAUGUUACGUAUGUGUUGAAUUAAAUCGAGCCCUUACAAAUAAAUGUUCGCUCAGUUGAUAAACGAGCUAUCGGCCUUCGGCUAAGUUAGUCUAUUGUGUAUGUGCAUAAGGGUUGUUAAUGUUGUGAAGCAAGUUUAAUAUCGAUAAAUUGCGUAUUAUGAAAUAUUCCGUUUAGCUAAAUGUGUGAUAUUCUUUGUUUAUGCUGGAAUUCCUUGCUCAAACUUACUAAGCAUAAAUUGCUUACUCGUUACAUUGCUCCUCUGUUUUAUAGAUUUUUGGUUCUCCAGCUAUCGGACUCGGGAUCUUGAAGUCGAAGUCGCCCACACUAUCAAAGGCUCUUUUGGGUACUAUUUUGGUUGAAUUUUGUUAUGGCAUGUAUAGGACUACCCAUUGUUGUCUUUCGAGUACUUUAUGAAAUGUAUAAGUGUACAGCCAUGCGAAAAUGGCUUGUAGAAGUGGAGUAUGGCAUUAGACCAUUCGUAUUUAUGAAUGUAUAGAUGGUUUCAUGAUGUAACUAUGUUGGAAUGGAAGUGUUGAGCAAAUGAUCAGCCACUAGAAUGGCUAAGUAUGAUCAUAUGUGGGCUUAUGUAUGACAAGGCCCUAGUUGGUCCAUGAAACCCCAAAUUAGG
rnacentral:lncRNA from 1 species